rnacentral:misc_RNA from 1 species
GCAAAGUUGAGUGAAUUAUUGACAUUGCUUCAUGCAUUUAAAUGUAAAAACCUAGGAUGGAAUUCAUGACCUCAAACUUCUUGGCACAGGAUGGACCACAAAAUUGUUCAAAAUAAUUAAAAAACCUGAUGGCAGUUCUAAAAUGAAAUUGCAUCAAGUAGAAUUACUUUCUUUCAUAUACAAACAAUUUAAUACAGAAAAGAAA